AGAGUUUGAUCCUGGCUCAGGACGAACGCUGGCGGCGUGCCUAACACAUGCAAGUCGAGCGGGGAGAAGAAUUCGUUUUUCUCUUUAGCGGCGGACGGGUGAGUAACACGUGGGUAACCUGCCUCAAAGUGGGGGAUAGCCUUCCGAAAGGAAGAUUAAUACCGCAUAAUAUCAGAGCACUGCAUGGUGCUGUGAUUAAAGGAGCAAUCCGCUUUGAGAUGGACCCGCGGCGCAUUAGCUAGUUGGUGAGGUAACGGCCCACCAAGGCGACGAUGCGUAGCCGACCUGAGAGGGUGAUCGGCCACAUUGGAACUGAGACACGGUCCAGACUCCUACGGGAGGCAGCAGUGGGGAAUAUUGCACAAUGGGGGAAACCCUGAUGCAGCAACGCCGCGUGAGUGAUGAAGGCCUUCGGGUCGUAAAGCUCUUUGAUCAGGGACGAUAAUGACGGUACCUGAAAAACAAGCCACGGCUAACUACGUGCCAGCAGCCGCGGUAAUACGUAGGUGGCGAGCGUUGUCCGGAUUUACUGGGCGUAAAGAAUGCGUAGGUGGAUAUUUAAGUGGGAUGUGAAAUCCCCGGGCUCAACCCGGGAACUGCAUACCAAACUGGAUAUCUGGAGUGCAGGAGAGGAAAGCGGAAUUCCUAGUGUAGCGGUGAAAUGCGUAGAUAUUAGGAGGAACACCAGUGGCGAAGGCGGCAUUCUGGACUGUAACUGACACUGAGGCAUGAAAGCGUGGGGAGCAAACAGGAUUANAUACCCUGGUANUCCACGCCGUAAACUAUGGGUACUAGGUGUAGGGGGUAUCGACUCCCCCUGUGCCGUCGUUAACNCAAUAAGUACCCCGCCUGGGGAGUANNNUCGCAAGACUAAAACUCAAAGGNANUGACGGGGGCCCGC
rnacentral:rRNA from 1 species